rnacentral:rRNA from 1 species
GGAGUCUGGGCCGUGUCUCAGUCCCAAUGUGGCCGUCCACCCUCUCAGGCCGGCUACCGAUCGUCGCCUUGGUGGGCCUCUAUCUCACCAACUAGCUAAUCGGACGCGGGCCCAUCGGAGAGCGGAUUUCCAUCCUUUGGUAUGCAAGGCAUGCGCCUCGCAUACAACAUCCGGUAUUAGCACCCCUUUCGGAGUGUUGUCCCCGGCCGGAGGGCAGGUUGCCUACGCGUUACUCACCCGUUCGCCACUAGGAUUCUGCCGAAACAAAAUCCCCGUUCGACUUGCAUGUGUUAGGCACGCCGCCAGCGUUCGUC